UGUUUGAAUGUUUGAAAAUAGGUGAUUAAUAGAUCGAAGAAAUGUGAUGUACUUUAAGAGGGUGACCAACCUGCCAUAAUCUUUGUUUCUCUCAAUGGCAUAUAAUAUUCGUGGAAACAAAGGUACUCCAUUAACUUAUCGAAAAGAUACCUCUGUGUAGAUUUUUAGAAAUAUUUAGUUAAUACUGAAUAAUAGAAGCGGUGAGCUUCUUCAGUAGCUGUUGGUAGAAUCUUUACGGGUUUGCUGUCCAUAGGCUAAAGGAUUAAUAGUCAGAUUUGUGAUUUGUAAAUGAAAGGUGAAAAGAAUUCCGAAAAGUAGGUGAAAUAGUGGUAAUUUAAUUAAUAGGAUGAAAUCUUACGUUUUUAUAUUAUAUAAGUGGUUGUAGAAGAAAGAAUUAUUGAGUUUAAACUAACAUUGUUAAUUGUUAUUAAAGCCCGAAUGCUACCGAUCUAACUAUCAUUAAGGUUUUUCUGCUGGUUGAGUAUACUAAAGAUUAAAAUGUAAAGGGAUACACACCUGCCAUUCAAUUGAUGGUUGGUGGUUAAAUGUCAUACGAGGUGUGUUAAUAUCUGGAUGUGUUCAAAAGAUAUAAUGGUGUCGAAUAAAUGUAAUUUGCUGGCAUAAGAUUGUUGUAAAAUGAUUUUAAUUAAGAAGGAUUAACUAUAAAUAAGAUUCAAGUGCUCUUAGGAGUAUUAUUAUUAGUCAUUUGCAAUUAAGUUAAGAUGGGUAUUCACUUGUGUUACAAAUGGGAGAAGCCCGAACUAGUAGUUAAAGUUGAAAAAUAUCUAUGUGUCUUAAAUGAAAUUAUUUAAUAGAUGUGCUUUAAUAUGAGCUCAAAAGUUGGAUUAAUAGUAUCCAUCUUUUCAAAAGUGUGUAGUAUCUUAUGAGCUAAAUUGUCUAUGUAUGUGUUUGGCAAAUAAAGAUAUUGCUGAAGCUCUAGUAGUAAAGAUAGAAUAUUAUCCAUUGUUAAAGGUGGUGUAAAAAUGGCAAUUUAAGUAAUUUUAAUUCGUGUUAACCUAAUAGUAUAUCCAAUAGUUUGUUAUCGCUGUCAAACAGAUUGCAUAAGAUUCAAUUCCUAAAGCAAGAUCCUUUUUGUUAUAGCUGAAGGUUUUUAUCUUCUUCAUAAAACCUAGUUUCAUUAAUAGUAGGGGAUCUUAGAUCUCUGUUACAAAAUAGUGCUAGGGUUGUACACUCUGAUAAAGGUUGGUGGUUUAUUAAGAUCUUUGUUCAUAAUAAAGAAGGGUAAAGAAUUUGGCAAUUAAGUUGUAGAACUUAGGGAUAACAAUAAUAUUUAUCAACCGACUGUAUACCAAAUACACAAGGUUUAGUUAAAGAUGUUUAUAUUUUAGAACUGAUAUGUGACCACUAUUUAUAAGCGCAUUUCUGCUGUGACAAAGGUUGGCUGUAACUAUAACGGUCCCAAGGUAGCAAAUUUCCUUGUCGUCUAAAUAACGACCUGCAUGAAAGAUAGAACGAUUCGAUAGCUCUCUUGCAUAGAUGUGGUGGUAAAAUAUUAGGUAGUGUGAAGAUACUCUAACAACGUUAUAGGACAAAAAGACCCUGUGAACCUUUAUAGGGAUAAAAUUUAGUAGAGGUUCUAUAUUAACAUAUCGCUUCGGCUAGGAUGGAAAAAGUGUGAGAUACCAUUCAUUGAGAAUAGAAUAAGAUAAAUCAGUUAAUUAUUAAUAGCCUUUGAUUCAACCUCGGUUGAUCUUAGUGCACUGUAUAUUUGUCAAAUGUUAGAUGGGCUAUUUAAUUGGGGCGAUAACCUUCUUUAAUCAAACAAAAGGUGAACAAAGCUAUUGAUACGGGCUUUGUUAAAGGACGAGUAAGUACAAAGAUAGAUCUGUGGCUUAAUGGUAUUCCUUUGUUUGAUCCAGUAUUUAAAUGGUAUCUUAGUGACCUUAAAAUUAAUUUAUCAAAUAAAAGCUACUCAAGGGAUAACAGGCUUAAUUAAAAUUAGAGCUCACAUUAAAUUUGCCAGUUUGGCACCUCGAUGUCGGCUUAUCUUUUCAAAAAUCUGUAUUAAGAUUAUUGGUGGGAGUGCUCAUCCCAUAAUAAGGUACCUGAGCUGGGUUCAAAACGAUGGAAAUCAGUUUGGUCUAUAUCUCUAACUUUAAAAGUAAAUCAUAGUCUUCUUUGCUCAGUACGCAAGGACCGUCAACAAAUUGCUAAAGGUGAAUUUUGCAAUAUAGUGGUAUCACUCCAAAGAUAAGUGAUUAUUAGACAAUUCUAAAUUUAAUGUCUGAAAACAAAAACUCUUCACAACCUCAACCG
rnacentral:rRNA from 1 species